rnacentral:rRNA from 1 species
AUGGUAUAUAUUCCAAGAAUAGUCAUGUCACCAACCGAAUCUGUACGGCCGUUCGUUCUAGAAAGGAGACACUAUCCUAUAUCGGUUUGCUUUCCUAUGACUAUCAACAAAGACCAGGGGCAAUCUCUAAACAAGGUAGAACUACAUCUAUCUAAACAAGUUUUCACACAUGGACAACUAUAUGUAGCCUUCUCAAGAGUCACAAAAAGGGAUGGACUGCAAGUAAUGGUAAAUGAUGAAGAUAGCAAUGAGGAUGAUGUGGUCAAGAACAUACUUCCUCCGUUCCAUAUUGUCGUUGAUUUAGUAUAA